rnacentral:rRNA from 1 species
CCCUUAGAUGUUCUGGGCCGCACGCGUGCUACACUGAGUAAAUCAAUGGGUAAGGGAACACGAAAGUGCAACCUAAUCUUCAAAUUUGCUCGUGAUGGGGAUCGACGGUUGCAAUUUUCCGUCGUGAACGAGGAAUACCUUGUAGGCGCGUGUCAUCAUCACGCGCCGAAUACGUCCCUGCCCUUUGUACACACCGCCCGUCGCUCCUACCGAUUGAGUGAUCCGGUGAGGCUCUGGGACCUGGACGGAAAGAGCGUUUCGCUUGUUCUGUUUGGGAAACUUGGUCGAACCUUAUCAUUUAGAGGAAGUAAAAGUCGUAACA